rnacentral:rRNA from 1 species
UGAGGAAUAUUGGUCAAUGGGCGAGAGCCUGAACCAGCCAAAUCGCGUGAAGGAAGACUGCCUUAUGGGUUGUAAACUUCUUUUAUACAGGAAUAAAAAAGGGGACGUGUCCCUUAUUGCAUGUACUGUAUGAAUAAGCAUCGGCUAACUCCGUGCCAGCAGCCGCGGUAAUACGGAGGAUGCGAGCGUUAUCCGGAUUUAUUGGGUUUAAAGGGUGCGCAGGCGGGCUUUUAAGUCAGCGGUGAAAUCUCGGGGCUUAACUCCGAAACUGCCGUUGAAACUGGGAGUCUUGAGUAUGGAUGAAGUAGGCGGAAUUCGUUGUGUAGCGGUGACAUGCUUAGAUAUAACGAGGAACUCCGAUUGCGUAGGCAGCUUACUAAGCCAUAACUGACGCUCAAGCACGAAAAGCGUGGGGAUCAAAACAGGAUUAGAUACCCCUGGUAGUCCACGCCGUAAAACGAUGAUUACUAGUUGUAUGCGAUAUACCGUAUGUGACUAAGCGAAAAGCGAUAAGUAAUCCACCUGGGGGAGUACGCCGGCAACGGUAAACUCAAAGGAAUUGACGGGGUCAUAGCUG